CAUCACCACCCGCCACAUCCUCCUCCUCCCUCCGUUACGCACCGCAGCCCGCGCGCACACACCUUCUCUCCCGUGGACACCUCGCGACAUCUGCGGAACCAUCACAUGUCCCACAGUUUUCUCGCGCGCGCGUCAUGCCAUCAUGGAUGAGAGCGACCUGUUACCGCGCAGACUGAUCACAGACGCCCGCGGGGAGGAAAAUGAGAGCAAAGCAAAGGAGAAGAGGAGUCCACGACGGAUGAUGACAAAGAGGAAGAGGGUGUCAUCCGGUUCCGGUCCAAAAACAGUAGUAUAACAGCCGUGGAAGCAACAGCUGCCGCAGCAGGGAGGAGGAGGAGGAGGAGGAGGAGGACGGGGUGAUCCGUGGACACACCGAGGACAUGUCACACUCGAAAGGUAUGGAGCAGAGAAGGGGACAGACACAGAGAGGAGGUAAGGGAUGAUAGAGGCAGAGGAGCUGUGAAGAAGGAGAAAGAGAUAGAGAUGCACAGACAGAUGAAAACAAAGAGGGCGGAGACUCCAAAAACAAGUGAUGGAGGAGGUGGAGGACUGAAAAACAAGAAAUGAACAUGAGGAGGAGGAGGAGGAGGCUGUUUGGUCUGGAGGCGAGACAAGAUGAAAUCCUUCACAGGGGCCCGUUGUCCACGCUGUCCACGCGCCCGGGCCCGCGCCACCGGCCGACCGGCGCCUGACUGUCGGUCAGAGACCGAGCAGGCACGGAGGAAUUCAGCUGAUACUGGACUGAGACUUCACCUUCAACAUGGAGGGCGUCCUGACGCCACAGCGCCGCCUGGAGACCGACUGCAGGGAUAGUAAUGAAUAUGAUGAUGAUAAUGAAGAAGAAGAGGGCACGGAUUAUAUGAAGCACGAGGAGAGAUGACGAAGAGGAGGCCGCGCACGUGCACGAGAUCAGGCAGCGGGCCUAUAAAAAUGGCGUCACCUAUUUUUCCUUUUUUUUUUACCACCUACACUUGUUAAAUCAGACCUCUUUUAUUUGUGUGUGUGUGCGUGUGUGUGUGAGCGUGUGUGUGUGUGUGUGUGUGCGCGUGUGUGUGUGAGCAGUUUAACGGGACAUCACUGUGAAAUAUCACCACGGAAAUCAAAGCCAUCGUGUUGUUGUGACUGUCGUUUUGUUUUUCUUUUUUUUUAUUUGACAUAUUUCCCAUCCUUUAAUUCUCAAAGUUCAUCCCAGCCUCAGUCUGACGCUCUUCAGCUCACGGUGAGUUCAGGUCCUUUUUUCUUUCCAAAUGAACGUUUCCAGCGCUCGUGCUUGUGGUUAUACUGAUUUGUAAUCAUUACUACUUUUUACAUGUGUUUUAAUUAGUAAUACUUCGUAUAAAUAAGCUUGCAUUUUUGACACAUAACUACGCAAGGUUUAAGAAUAAAUACUGGGUCAAUUAGA